rnacentral:rRNA from 1 species
CCCGCCGGCGACCGGCGCACGGGUGAGUAACACGUAUGAAACCUGCCCGUAGCAGGGGAGUAAGCGGAAGAAAUUCCGUCUAAUACCGCGUAACAACCCAUGGAGGCAUCUCUGUGGGUUUAAAGGAAGCGAUUCCGGCUACGGAUGGUCAUGCGUCGCAUUAGCUUGUUGGCGGGGUAACGGCCCACCAAGGCGACGAUGCGUAGGGGUUCUGAGAGGAAGGUCCCCCACACUGGUACUGAGACACGGACCAGACUCCUACGGAAGGCAGCAG